CAAGUACUCCCUCCGUCCGAAAUUACUUGUCAUCAAAAUGGAUGUGUCUAGAACUAAAAUACAUCCAGAUACAUCCAUUUCAAUGACAAGUAUUUUCGGACGGAGGGAGUACAAG
rnacentral:pre_miRNA from 1 species